GGGGAUAUAGUUCAGUUUGGUAAAACACUGACUUUGCACGUCAGAUUCUCAGGUUCGAAUCCUGAUAUCUCCA